CCCCCCUUGCACGUUGGCGCCGCUGUUUACCCGCCUGGCCGCCCUCGGCCCACUUCCCUUUCCUCCCCCCAGGGGAGGAGAUGGUUAAAGAUUACACUGCGGCCGCCGGCACUUCAAAGGGCGGCUCGGGCAGCCAAAGGUAAAGAUAACGUUCUGGAAGCUCUAAUCGGGGUUUGUGGUUGCCACAUUUUAAUCACUUCGUUAAAAAAAAAAAAAAAAAAGAAAGAAAGAAAGAAAAAAAGAAAAGAAAAAAAGAAAGAAAGAAAAAGGUUACAUCAUCCUGCUGUGCUAGGGAUGCAGAAUUAUUCACGUUGUAAAUGGAACUUGGAACGUAUCCUGUCUAUGAUUCUUAUAGAACCACAACUAGAAUGCCCUGGAGGGGUAAAUACAUCACCUUAUGGGGGUUGGCACACUGAACAGGAAUCCCAAGAUGAUUCUCACUCAAGAAGUCCAAGCUAAAAAAAUUUCACAUACACCACAAGAAUUACUAAUAAGC
rnacentral:lncRNA from 1 species